rnacentral:rRNA from 1 species
AUUGAACGCUGGCGGCAUGCCUUACACAUGCAAGUCGAACGGCAGCACGGGUGCUUGCACCUGGUGGCGAGUGGCGAACGGGUGAGUAAUACAUCGGAACAUGUCCUGGAGUGGGGGAGAGCGCGGCGAAAGCCGGAUUAAUACCGCAUACGAUCUACGGAUGAAAGAGGGGGAAGGGGGGGGGGGGCGCUAGAGGGAGGGCCGAUGGCUGAUUAGCUAGUUGGGGGGGUAAAGGCCUACCAAGGCGACGAUCAGUAGCUGGUCUGAGAGGACGACCAGCCACACUGGGACUGAGACACGGCCCAGACUCCUACGGGAGGCAGCAGUGGGGAAUUUUGGACAAUGGGCGAAAGCCUGAUCCAGCAAUGCCGCGUGUGUGAAGAAGGCCUUCGGGUUGUAAAGCACUUUUGUCCGGAAAGAAAUCCUUGGCCCUAAUACGGUCGGGGGAUGACGGUACCGGAAGAAUAAGCACCGGCUAACUACGUG